CCCUCCGGGGGGUGAGGAUUCCAGGCGGUGGCCAGCAUCCGCUCCCUCCCCUCCCACGCUCGCCCCGCGGACCUCGCCGCCAGCCCGUCGGAACCCUGAUGCUGCAACGGGAAAGUGCGGCCCUGCAGGAGCAGCUAAAGAUGUAACAGAAGAAUCUAUAACGGAAGAUGACAAGAGGAGAAACUAUGGAGGGGUAUAUGUAGGUCUACCAUCUGAAGCUGUCAAUAUGGUAUCCAAUCAAACAAAGACUGUACGAAAAAGUAA